CACGUAGGGGGCAAGCGUUGUCCGGAUUUAUUGGGCGUAAAGAGCUCGUAGGCGGCUCAGUAAGUCAGGUGUGAAACCUCCAGGCUCAACCUGGAGACGCCACCUGAUACUGCUGUGACUAGAGUCCGGUAGGGGAGCGUGGAAUUCCUGGUGUAGCGGUGAAAUGCGCCAGAUAUCAGGAGGAACACCAGCGGCGAAGGCGGCGCUCUGGGCCGGAACUGACGCUGAGGAGCGAAAGCGUGGGUAGCAAACAGG
rnacentral:rRNA from 1 species